rnacentral:pre_miRNA from 1 species
AGUGGGAUUGCUGGGUUAUAUGCUGGUUUCAUUGCUAGUUAUUUGAGGAAUCUCCAGACUGCUUUCCAGAGUGGUUACACUAAUUUGCAGUCCCACCAACAAU